rnacentral:rRNA from 1 species
UACGAAGGGUGCAAGCGUUACUCGGAAUUACUGGGCGUAAAGCGUGCGUAGGUGGUGAGUUUAAGUCUGUCGUGAAAGCCCGGGCUCAACCUGGGAAUGGCGAUGGAUACUGGCUCGCUAGAGUGCGGUAGAGGAGAGUGGAAUUCCCGGUGUAGCAGUGAAAUGCGUAGAGAUCGGGAGGAACAUCAGUUGCGAAGGCGGCUCUCUGGACCAGCACUGACACUGAGGCACGAAAAGCGUGGGGAGCAAACAGG